CAGGAGAGAGAGGGGUAGCCCUGAUUAUGGUCGUGUUAGAAGCCCAAGUCCCUAUAGGAGGGAUCGGGGUAGCCCUGAUUACGGUCGUAACUCCAGCCGCAGUCCUUACAAGAAAGAGAGAGCUGCUAUUGGUCAUGGUCGAGGCCCUAGCCGUAGUCCUUAUCGGAGGGACAGAGGUAGUCCUGAGAAUGGUCAUGGAUCCAGUCCUAGUCCUUAUCGUAAGGGGAAACCUAGUCCUAACAAUGGUCGUGGCCCCAGCCGCAGUCCAUAUGAAAGAGAGAGGCCUAGUCCUGAAAAUGGUCGUGGAGGCAGCCGAAGUCCCUAUAGAAGAGAGAGGCCUAGCCCUGACAAUGGUCGUGUUCCCAGUCCAAAUUCAAUGCCUGAACCUAGGGAUAGCCCUGGUUAUGAUGGAGCUGACAGCCCUAUCAAUGAGAGAUACCGCAGGUUUGUUUGGUCAUCUUUGAUUUAUGUUCUGCUUGUUUUUUAGCCAUCAUAUCUUUAAUUGACAUAUUUCUCUCCAUGCUCUCUGUUUUGCAGUCGUUCAC
rnacentral:lncRNA from 1 species